UACGUAGGGGGCGAGCGUUGUCCGGAAUUAUUGGGCGUAAAGAGCGCGCAGGCGGUCGUUCAAGUCGCGUGUGAAAGCCCCCGGCUCAACUGGGGAGGGUCACGCGAUACUGGUCGACUCGAAGGCAGGAGAGGGUAGUGGAAUUCCCGGUGUAGUGGUGAAAUGCGUAGAUAUCGGGAGGAACACCAGUGGCGAAGGCGACUACCUGGCCUGUUCUUGACGCUGAGGCGCGAAAGCUAGGGGAGCAAACGGG
rnacentral:rRNA from 1 species